rnacentral:rRNA from 1 species
AGCAGCCGCGGUAAUUCCAGCUCCAAUAGCGUAUAUUAAAGUUGUUGCAGUUAAAAGCUCGUAGUUGAAUUUCGGGGUUUAUCCGUUGGUCGGGCUUUUUGGUCUGUACUGGCGUGAUGGAUUCCUACCUUCUGAAUAACCGGCAUGCCAUUAAUUUGGUGCGCCGGGGAAGCAGGACUGUUACCUUGAAAAAAUUAGAGUGCUUAAAGCAGGCUUAUGCCUGAAUACAUUAGCAUGGAAUAAUGAAAUAGGACGGCAUGGUUCUAUUUUGUUGGUUUCUAGGAUUGACGUAAUGAUUAAUAGGGAUAGUUGGGGGCAUUAGUAUUCAAUUGUCAGAGGUGAAAUUCUUGGAUUUAUUGAAGACUAACUACUGCGAAAGCAUUUGCCAAGGAUGUUUUCAUUAAUCAAGAACGAAAGUUAGGGGAUCGAAGACGAUCAGAUACCGUCGUAGUCUUAACCAUAAACUAUGCCGACUAGGGAUCGGAUGAUGUUAAUUUUUUAAUGACUCAUUCGGCGCCUU